GACGAACGCUGGCGGCGUGCUUAACACAUGCAAGUCGAACGGAAAGGCCCAGCUUGCUGGGUACUCGAGUGGCGAACGGGUGAGUAACACGUGGGUGAUCUGCCCUGGACUCUGGGAUAAGCCUGGGAAACUGGGUCUAAUACCGGAUAGGACCACUGAUUGCAUGGUUGGUGGUGGAAAGCUUUUGCGGUUCAGGAUGGGCCCGCGGCCUAUCAGCUUGUUGGUGGGGUAAUGGCCUACCAAGGCGACGACGGGUAGCCGACCUGAGAGGGUGAUCGGCCACACUGGGACUGAGACACGGCCCAGACUCCUACGGGAGGCAGCAGUGGGGAAUAUUGCACAAUGGGCGCAAGCCUGAUGCAGCGACGCCGCGUGAGGGAUGACGGCCUUCGGGUUGUAAACCUCUUUCGCUAGGGACGAAGCGUAAGUGACGGUACCUGGAGAAGAAGCACCGGCCAACUACGUGC
rnacentral:rRNA from 1 species